AAAUACAAAGAUAAAAACGCAAUGUACAUUCAGCAAUGUACUAGAGCUGGUAGGUAGCCCAGCCGUCCUAUGUAAAUAGGGUAAGUAACCUGCCCCUCCGGGUUGUCCAUUCUUUGUUCAACAAUU
rnacentral:ncRNA from 1 species